rnacentral:lncRNA from 1 species
GGCGUGCCUUCGCGAGGCCCCGCCUCCUCUCCUCGCCCUCUCUCGCGGGUCGGGGUUACAUGGCGGCGACUGCGGCAAAACGAGAGCCUCGGAGACGCCGCUGCCGCCAGCACAGCCGGAGACCUGAGCCGACCCUGGGGGCUGUCCGCGGGCCUCGCACUCUCUCGAUGAGUCGGAGGAGUCCCUGCAGCCCCGUGUUUUCUUGGCUCAGCCUUAGGAGAAUAUGAACUUGUUAUUCUGAAGAUGCGGAAUACUGCGGAGGUAUUUGUCUUAGCUUCCUGUGUUGGCCCCACUUUCAGAGAGCAGCUGCUUUGGAAAUGGUGGGUUUUCUAGCCCUUUUAUUUUGCAAACAGUCUCCAUAUGUAGCCCUGGUGGCCUCACUUACAGCUGUCAUCCUUUCUGUGCCUCCUUGAGUGUCAGGAUUAGAGGUGAGUAUGGCCCCACACCUGACUUGCCUACACAGUCUUUUGUACUCACUAAAGACCACUAGAAAAGGGCCGGUGAUUGGGAUGUGCAGGAUGUCCUCUGAGGGCUUUGCAUGCAGCCAUGAAACUGUUCUUUAGAAGUCUGAGUUCUCCUUAAUCCUGUCUGUGGAAAAUUCCGUGUUCUCUGCUCUGUUGCCAGGCACAAGAGCAGCCAUGGUAUCUUCUCUUCUGAAGAGAUUGGCAUUUUCUUUCUUAUUUUUGAUACAGGGUUUCUCUGUGUAGCUCUGCCUGUUCUGGAACUUGUUCUGUAGACCAGGCUGGCCUGGAACUCAAAAAGAUCCCACCUGCUUCUGCCUCCGGAGUGCUGGGGUUAAAGGUGUGUGUUACCACCACCUGGCAAGGCUUAAUAUCUUAAUGGAUCUUUUUUGUUUGUUUAUUUUUUUAGAUUUUUAUUUACUUUAUGUGUAUGAGCCUUUUGCCUUAAUGUGUGUAUGUGUCCCUCAUUUGUGUAUGGUGGCUGGAUGUGAGAAGAAUCUGUUAGAUCCCCUGGAACUGAAGUUAAGGAUGGGAAUCAACUUUUGGACCUCCUGAGUGUUUGGCAAGGGCUCUGCUACAGAACCAUACUUCCACUCCUUUUUAAGAGAGACAAGUUUUCUUGCCCAAACUGGCCUUGACUACUGAGCCUCCUGCUUCAGCCUCCUGAGUUGCUGGGAGUACAAGCUUGUGUGAGGG